rnacentral:lncRNA from 1 species
CUCCUCUCUCUCUCCUUGAUUCUUAUCCUUAUCCCUUCAUUAGCUUAACUUCAUUUAACUCUUUUCUUCUUUUCUCUCAGCCCUAGAGGUAGGCUGAAGCAAAGGGAGCUAAGGGAGCUGUUGUGCUGAGUGAUUUCUUGGUAUUUGAGAAAGAGAGAGAGAGAGGAAGCAAAUAAAGGGGAGUAUCUUUACUUCUGGAAUUGAAGCAGCAAACUUGGAGGUUGGCAUCUUGGAGACCUGCGGGCUGAGGAGGAAGGCCUAAACUGAGCUGAAUUCCAGCUAAUAGGAGUUGCUGUGUAAAUUGGUUCAGCAUCCAAUUAGGUAAGGUGGAUUUUAUCAUUGAUAAUAGCCAAUUAAUUGCUUUAGAGAUGACUUAUAGAGAGGAAUUCUUGUUGCUGAAAUUCAGACUGAAGUUGGGACUUGUGGAGCUGCUGGAUUAGGACUGCAGCUGAGGAAAGCUUUGAUGCAAAAUUCUGAUGGCUAAAGCUGAAAACAAAUUGAAGGAAUACCCAGUUAAGGAAAGAUUAAAAUUAGUAGCUUAUUGUAAAUUAAGUUCUUACCUUAAAGAGGAGUUAAGACUAAUAUUUGAUUGCUGCCAGGACUUAUAAUUAAGAGAAUUA